CUGGAGUAGUGAUGCUGAAAAUUCAGCUUCGCAUCACAGGAAUAAAUUACAGUUUAACAGAUUCACAUAGAAAACAGUUAUUUUACAUUAUGAAAAUAUUUCACAAAUUUGACUGUAUUUACUGUGUUUCUGAUCAAGUAAAUGCAGCUUUGGUGAGCCGGAGAAACUGUUUUGAACACCAGAUAUCUUGCAGAAUAUUUUAUUCCUAUGUUAAUUUUUAUGUGUAGCUUAUUUUAUGUGUGUGGUUGUGAGAGACAAAAGAAAAAAAAAAUGGAAAUGAAUCGAAUGUUUGACAUAUUUGAGUGCGUUUGCAGGAGAAAACUCAAAGAGAGAGCAGGAAAACAGAAGCGUCAGCCUCUAAACCGGAAGAUGAUGAUGAUGAUGAACAAGAUGAAAAUGACAACAAUGAAGAAUCAGGUGGAGAUGAUGAUGAGUUCUCGUCAGGUGAUGAAGAGACACUGAGAGAAAAGCAGAAGAGAGGCAAGAGGAACACGGCAGAAGCUGACAUGAAUCUGUCCAGACCUUUACUGAAGGUGAUAAACUUCAGCGUGCCCAACACAGUGAAGCAUUACGUGCACAGGGUGGGCCGAACGGAGACCGA
ensembl:lncRNA